UAAGGAGGAUGCGAGCGUUAUCCGGAUUUAUUGGGUUUAAAGGGUGCGCAGGCGGUCUGUUAAGUCAGCGGUCAAAGCCCGGGGCUAAACCCCGUCGAGCCGUUGAAACUGGCAGACUUGAGUUGGCGAGAAGUACGCGGAAUGCGUGGUGUAGCGGUGAAAUGCAUAGAUAUCACGCAGAACUCCGAUUGCGAAGGCAGCAUACCGGCGCCCAACUGACGCUGAGGCACGAAAGCGUGGGGAGCAAAUAGG
rnacentral:rRNA from 1 species